AACAAAUUUAUCAACAUUUAAAAUUGUUUCUGGAGAAAAAUAAGGAUAAUCCGACUUAAUUGAUCAGUGAAAGGCCGGCUUAAAGGGUACCAUUGAGCAUCAGACACAACACUCUAAAAAAUGAACGGUCAAUUGAAAUAACGUUUAUUCCAAUUGGAGAGAAUUAAUAUCACGUGUAUUUUCCUGUAAUUUGAAAAUCUUCUGGUACAUCAUUUCUCAUAAUUGUCCUGGGACAUUUGUUGUACAAGCUGUACAAUACAGAAGAAAUUGAACAUAAUGUGUGAAUAUUCUCUCUCCCCCCCGCUCCUUACUGUACUGCAGGGACCCUGGAGAAGGAUAAAUUAUAUACAUAGAAUCCUGAUUGUAAACCGUAUAUGUACAGUGUAUACUGUACAACAAUAAAACUGAUUCAAAUACUUCAGUUUGCACUAACCUGCGCUGCAACUCUUACAUCAGAAUUAAUAUUCAGAAUCACUGGUAGAGGUUAGAGUGGGCGUUCCUCUUGUCCUCUCCUCCCCUUCAUACUUUGACUCUCUGCGUACUGAGAGCCUGGAGUAUAGAAGUAAGCUAGAGAUGACAACCUCGCCAACCCCCCUGGAAAGGUCGAGUACUCGUUUAUUUGUCCUUUUGUAUUGAAAUAAACGAUUGUACAAAUUUAUUGCAAAGCAGUCAUUUUCUAUCAGUGAAUGUACUGAAAUAAUUCUGAUUCAUUAAAGAGGUUUUUACGUAUAGAAUAGAUUAUCCUCUAUAAACUAAAUCUGGUCUAUACGACAACAUUCAUGAGAAGUAGUGUGUGGGUUGCCAAGAGAGAGCCUUCAUGUGGUGCAACCCACAGUGCUGCGAAGCACUGCAAAGCCUCUCAUCAAACUCUUCAGUUUUUGACAAGGAACCAAGAAAUCUUUCAGUCCAAUGUUUUUUGUAACUAAAGACCAGCUCCCUCCGGCGGGACUGGUCAGAAUGCUACUGCUGAUUGCCGGUAUAGAACCCAACCCGGGCCCUAUUCCUGGACGAGGAUGGAUCUGCAGUGUAUGUAACCAACAGAUAAACGAACAAACACAAACCUCAGUAAAGAGCAACAAAUGUAAUAACUGGUGCCACCUACGUAAAAAUAAAGAAACAAACUGCAGUCAACUUAAAUCAAUCAGAAAUUACUCACUUGUCUUCCAGUGCCCCACAUGCUGUGAUAGCGACAACACAACUAAUAAACAACCUAAUACUACAACAGUCUGUGAUAGCAACAACACAACUAGUCAACAACCUACCACAACAACUACCAGUCAACAACCUACUUAUCAACAGAGUAAAUCCAAAGAAAACAACCAA